rnacentral:ncRNA from 1 species
CACACGUGAGAAACGCGUGCGCCGAUUGACUAAGGGUUCCUGGGUCAAGCUGAUCUGCCCAGGGUAAGUCGGGACCUAAGGCGAGGCCGACAGGCGUAGUCGAUGGAUAACCGGUUGAUAUUCCGGUACCCGCUGUGAAGCGUCAAACAUCGAAUCCAGUGAUGCUAAGCCCGUGAAGCCGUUCCGGACCCUUCGGGGAAAGGAAAGUGGUGGAGCCGGUGACCCGAUCUGGUAGUAGGUGAGUGAUGGGGUGACGCA